rnacentral:rRNA from 1 species
GUCCACGCCGUAAACGAUGUCUACUAGCCGUUGGAGUCCUUGAGGCUUUAGUGGCGCAGCUAACGCACUAAGUAGACCGCCUGGGGAGUACGGUCGCAAGAUUAAAAACUCAAAAUGAAUUGACGGGGGCCCGCACAAGCGGUGGAGCAUGUGGUUUAAUUCGACGCAACGCGAAGAACCUUACCAGGUCUUGACAUCCAGAGAACUUUCCAGAGAUGGAUUGGUGCCUUCGGGAACUCUGAGACAGGUGCUGCAUGGCUGUCGU